ensembl:lncRNA
CAACAAUAACAACAAAAACAAUAACAACAGCGAUUGUUAUAAUAAUAAAUACAUUACAGAAAUAAAUGAGUGUAAUUAUAAUAGUAGUAAUUAUCAAGAAAACAGUUACAAUAAUAUGUAUUUUUUAAUUGCUCAAAAUGCAGAUAAAAAUAUAAAAAAAAAAAAUGAAUAUAAUACUAUUUGUUCUAAUAAAUUAAUACAAAAUAUACAAGAAAAUACAUCAAGUGAAACUAUAUUAUUUUUAACUUUAAUAAUUAUGAUUUGUAUAUCUAUUUUAUGUAAUUAUGAUCAUGGUGCUAUUCCUGUAACAUUAGAAGAAAUACAAAAAGAUUUUCCAAUGGGUUAUAUAGAACAAUCAUUACUUGGUAGUUUAGUUUAUUUUGGUUUAAUUAUAGGUACUAUAAUUGCUAGUAUAUUAUUUGAAUUGAUAUCAGCCAAAAUAUUAGUUACAAUAAGUAUUAUAUUGUUAUCCAUAUCAUUGUAUAUAUUUAGUUACGCUACUUGUAUUACUUCUAUGUAUAUAUCUCGAUUUAUUAAUGGUUUGUGUCAGGCUAUACCUGUUGUUUAUUUACCUGUAUGGGUGGAUGAGUUUUCACCUACUGAAAAAGCAACUCAAUGGAUGUCAUAUAUUCAAUUAGCUUCAAUAGGAGGUACUGUUUUAGGUUAUUUUUUAGGUGGUAUCUUAUCAAAUAAUUAUAAUACUUAUAAUACAAAUGAUUUUAUAUUUACACAUAUUUCCAUUUUCACUACAUGGAGAUCUCCAUUUUUAAUACAAGCUGUUUUAUUAAUACCAUUAUUUUUAAUUCUUAUUUUUAUUCCAUCAGAUAUUAUUAAUAUUAAUUCAAACAGUAGUGAUGAUGGUAGUACUAUAAAUAACCAAAAUACUAUAAUUUCAAACGGGUAUAAAAAUAAUUUAAAUAAAUAUAAAAAAAUAAUUAUAAAUGAUUAUGAUGAAGCUUACCAUGGUGAUACAUAUGAAGAUUCAUAUGAAGAUACAUAUAGAAAUACAUAUAGAGAUACAUAUAGAGAUACAUAUAGAGAUACAUAUGGUUAUAACUCUAAUGAAAAUGGUAACAUAUACAUUUAUCAUGAACAAUAUGAAUUAUUGUCUAAUAGUGUAAGCGAUACUAAUGAAGAAAUCUCUACACAAGUUGAUCAAUUUAAUUUUAAUAACAGUUCUACAAUUAUGACUGAUAAUAACAGUGAUGGCAAUAACAGUGGCAAUAAUAAUAGCAAUAAUAAUAAAAGAGAAAAAAAAAAAACAACGGGACAAAAAACAACGGGACAAAAAACGACGGGACAUAAAACAACUGGAAAAAAUGUGCAUAAAAUAUCAAAUAAUAUUAAUAGAAUUACAGAAAGAGCUACCUCUGAUAGUGGUAAAUAUAUUUCAAAUAAAAUACACCUCGAAAUGAAUGCAUCUACUAUUAUGAAUAAGAAAAAGAGAAAUAAUACUAUUAAUACAAGUUAUAACAAACAUAAUAUUUCCUUCAAUAAAUCAGCCACCUACAUAAUGGAACGUAAAACAAAUGUAUUAAAAAAAACAUUAAAUGAAGUAAAAAAAUUACUUAACAAUAAAUUAUAUAUAAUUGUAACUUUAGGAAUGAGUAAUUUAUAUUUUGUAGUAACAGGAAUACAAUUUUGGAUUACUGAAUAUAUGUCUGUUGUUUUAUUAACAGAAAAAAUGAAAAUAGUUACUGUAUCUACUUUAUGCUUUUUAACUUCACCUACAUCUGGAGUAUGGUUUGGUGGUUUUGUAUGUGAUAAGUUUGGAGGAUAUAAAAAUAAUAAUUAUGCUAAAACAGUUAAAGUUGCAACAGCCUUUGCUAUUUGUGCCUGCAUUUUUGGUAUAAUAUCAGCUCAUUUGAAUAAUUUUGUUUUUUUUUCGAUUACGUUGUGGCUUUGUUUAUUUUUUGGAUCAGCACUUGUUCCGGUAGCAGUGGGGAUGUUGUUAUCAUGUGUAAGUAACCAUCAAAAAAAUUUAUCUUCAGCCGUGUCACAAGUGAUAUAUAACGUUUUCGGUUGGUUCUCAGCUCCUUUAUUGUCAGGCACAAUAAUGGAUAUCAUGCAUAAAUACACUAAUGACAACAGAUUAGCUUUAAAGUAUGUUAAAAAAACAAAAACAAACAAACGAACGAAAAAAUAAGAGGGUUACCCAGUAUAACUGCAUGCGUAGACAUACAUGUACAUANNNNNNNNNNNNNNNNNNNNNNNNNNNNNNNNNNNNNNNNNNNNNNNNNNNNNNNNNNNNNNNNNNNNNNNNNNNNNNNNNNNNNNNNNNNNNNNNNNNNAAUGAUACUAUACUCAAGUUUUAUUGGAUUUAUUUUUUUAUUUUAUGCGAACUUCUUGGUAAUAUAAUUAAAACAAAUGAGAAAAAAAAAAAAGAAAAAAAAAAAGAAAAAAAAAAGAAAAAAAAAAGAAAAAAAAAAAGAAAAAAAAAAAAGAAAAAAAAACGGAUAAACAAUUGGGUUAAUAAGCGAAUAAAAAAACAAAUUUAUGCGCA